UACCAGCACCCCGAGUGGUCGGGACGUUUAUUGGGCCUAAAGCAUCCGUAGCCGGUUCUACAAAUCUUCCGUUAAAUCCAGCUGCUUAACAGAUGGGCUGCGGAAGAUACUAUGGAGCUAGGAGGCGGGAGAGGCAAGCGGUACUCGAUGGGUAGGGGUAAAAUCCGUUGAUCCAUUGAAGACCACCAGUGGCGAAGGCGGCUUGCCAGAACGCGCUCGACGGUGAGGGAUGAAAGCUGGGGGAGCAAACCGG
rnacentral:rRNA from 1 species